CCUCAUCGAGGGGCCGGCGCUCUACGGCUUCCUCAGCGGGCGGGACAACCUGCGGCGGUUCGACGCCGCCGAUCCGGCC
rnacentral:tRNA from 1 species